UACGGAGGGGGCUAGCGUUGUUCGGAAUUACUGGGCGUAAAGCGCACGUAGGCGGCUUUGUAAGUUAGAGGUGAAAGCCCGGAGCUCAACUCCGGAACUGCCUUUAAGACUGCAUCGCUUGAACGUCGGAGAGGUAAGUGGAAUUCCGAGUGUAGAGGUGAAAUUCGUAGAUAUUCGCAAGAACACCAGUGGCGAAGGCGGCUCACUGGCCCGGUACUGACGCUGAGGUGCGAAAGCGUGGGGAGCAAACAGG
rnacentral:rRNA from 1 species